CUCAGUUGCCUCGCAGUCGCGCGCUCUCUUAGACGCUUUCGCUCCCUCCCGAUCGACCCGCUCCACUCCGCUCCGCUCCACUCGUGUGCAUAUGGCUAAUUAACUGAAUAUCAAAGACUCCCCAAGACGCGCGCGCGCACUCUGGUGGCGUUACAUUGUGAAACUCUUCAAUCCGAUACGGAUCGGAAAAGCCCAGAGGCAGAUGGUUCUUGUUCCAUAAAAGCGCAUGCCCGCUGCGAUAUUGGUUUCACUUUACGCCGGCUAAGGCACAGGCACAGGCAUAGGCCCAACAUUAAACCUCUCUCUCUCUCCGAUCAAAGCAAAUCAAAAACUGAAUUCGGAUUCGAAACCGAAAACAACAACAACGGUUCAUCAGAAACUAAAGUGAAAAGCAAACCGACUAAUUGAAGUGCCUGUCUUUCACUCUCCCUCCAUAUCUCGCUCUCUUCGUUUCGCAAGCGUGCAAGGGAAACAAACAAAACGGAAUAAAAAGCCCAUCGGAGCCAAAGAGCCACCGCACAAAAUAUUUAUAAAUAUAUUAACCAAACGACAACUACGACGGCAGCAGCGACAGCAACGGCAACAACAACAACUACAACUACAACUAAAACAUCGUCAUUAUCAUCAUCAACAAUACUACCACUACCAACAAAAGCCCGGCAUUAACAUUUAGUCGUGCCAGUUUAUUUAUUUUAUAUACGGGUAUACGCCAAGCUCAUAAAAAGCAGCUACAAAAACUGCGGAAAAAAAAACAAAAAGUUGAAGCAAUAAGAAAAUCGGUAUAAGCCCCAGACCAAGCGAUCAUCGCCGCCGCUAUAUACACUUGUACCUGUAUACCAAAACCCGACACAGACGGCUGCCCUCCAGAGCCGUCCACAGAAUCCCCUAUACCAUACAGGAGUACGAGAAUACAGAGCCGAUAUCGGACAAGAUGCCGCCCAUGUGGUACCAGCUGAUCAAAAUUUUGGUGCUCCUCUUCGCCCUCUUUACCACGAUAGUUUGUAUCAAUAGCGAAAUAUCGAAACGACGUGAAGCUGAGGCAGCGGCAGCGGCUGCAGCUGCAGAAUUGGCCGCCAUGGCAGCUGCCGGAGCUGCGGGAGGCGGAGGCCCUCCCAACUCCACAGAUAUGUCCGACUUUAUGUCCGAUAAUCUGCUGCACAUCCUACGGAACAAGGCCAAGGAGCAUCCAGACAUACAGGAAGGAAGGGAUCAUCAGUUGCGGCCGGAGGAGUUGCCCGCCAAGGAUCUCGAUCUAAUCAUAACUGAGAUUUUCAAAGUGACCGACGACGCAGGUGUACAUAUUUUUGAUACAACGAUAACGGACAAUGCACCCCUCAUGCCCAUACACACCAUGAUCGACCACCAGUCCCAGCCCCAGCAACCGACACAGCCACUGUCUAAGCCACAGCCACAGCCACAGCCACAGCCAAGCCAUUACCAUCAAUAUCACAGCCUGAGCCAACAAGAUCAAUACUUCAAAGUGCAGCGCUCACCGGACGGCAAGCUGAAUCUCGUCUUUAACGAUACGUUCGUCUCUUUGCAGGGGACCAAUCCGGCAACGGUGCCAGAGCAACAGGAUCCGGCCCAAAGGACGCGACAGCCGCCAGAGAACCCUAUUGUCUUUCCCGAUUCAGCAGUCAUGCACCACAUGAAGACCACCACGCUGCCGGUGAUCAAGAGGGAUAUACCCCAGUGUGUCGAGGAUCAAGCCAAUCACAAAUCCAAAUCCUUCUGCACCCAGGUCGAGAACUAUCCGGAUCUGUCGCUCAUCAAGGGAAAACUGUCGCAGAACUUCUCCAAUUUCUUCAGUGAUCCCGAGCCCGUGCCCGUGGAUAUCAGUUCGCGAUUGGGCCCCAAUGAUGAGGUUUUCCUGUGCAGGAGCCGUCGGAGGUACCUGUACCCCAAGUCGGGCCUGAAGUCGGACAACACCUGGCAGUUCAUAGUCAACAACGAUGAGUUCAAGCAAGGCAUAAUGAUCGAAGAGUGCGAGAACGAGGAAAUGCCCUGUGACUACUCCUUGAGCUUUCCGCAGCGAUAUAAGCCCAUCUGUAAGCAGAACUAUGCGUUGCGAACGCUGGCCAGCAUCCGCAAUACGAGCGGCGAGCUGGAUGUGGGACAAGAGUCCUUCAAGAUACCCUCCUGCUGCAAGUGUGUGCUCAAAGUCCUCUAAGCGAGUUAUUGAGUCGCUCGAGUAGCUGCGAAAAUGUGAUUUGGAGGUAGGAUCACAAUUUAUUAUCCUUCAAACGAUUGGAACAUUGCAAUUUAGAAAUUAAGCGAUCACUGCAACAAAACGGACGAACAUCUGGACUAGGGGACGGCCACUGCAUCCACUGCAUCUCCGGCCAUCUACUUGACUAACUUGCGCAGGGUGUAGCCAACGGCGUAGAAUCCCACCAGCUUCAGGGCCAUUCCCUUGCUCUCCACCUUCAUCUUGGUCUUUAACUUGUUCUCAAUAUUUCCGAAAAAGCGAUCCAUUUUCACGAACUGAUAAACGGCAAACUUUUGAAUAAGAAAAUAAUUAACUACUGAUUGUUUGGUUUGGGGAUUGUUGGAAGCCAAAAAAUAUGAGAGUUUUACGUGUGAAUGUUUGAAACAGAUUUCACAGAAUGAAGAAAAAGCACAAAAGUUUCACCCACCACAGGAUGGCAGGCCAAACUGUCCAGGGGUCGUUGUUUUAUAAUUUGUAUUUUAAUGCACAAAACAUAUGUAUAAUCCACCCAUGGAAUAAUGCUGAUCCAAGGCAGAGUCCGAUUUAAGUUAAGGCACUUUAAUUUCGUUCUUCAUCGAGUCAGUGUAAACAUAUUCGUGUCAUAUCUCCGCGACUGGUUUCCCUGUGUCCAGUGUCUAAGCUAAGCUGCAUGCAAUUAUAUUGUAGUCCUAGAGUACGAGAAAUCAUUAGAAAAAUGUAUGUUUAAAAAAAUAUAAUGUACAAUAAAUGUAUGCAAGUACAUGACAACAAA